ACUGCUUUUCUUUGAAGUCCCCACUUUGGAGAGCCCGCUAAUCCCGCCUGUUUAGGUUCAAGAUUAGUGGGUUUUUUCUU
rnacentral:sRNA from 1 species